rnacentral:rRNA from 1 species
UACGAAGGGGGCUAGCGUUGCUCGGAAUCACUGGGCGUAAAGCGCACGUAGGCGGAUUGCUAAGUCAGGGGGGAAAUCCUGGAGCUCAACUCCAGAACUGCCUUUGAUACUGGCGAUCUCGAGUCCGGGAGAGGUGAGUGGAACUGCGAGUGUAGAGGUGAAAUUCGUAGAUAUUCGCAAGAACACCAGUGGCGAAGGCGGCUCACUGGCCCGGUACUGACGCUGAGGUGCGAAAGCGUGGGGAGCAAACAGG